CAGAUCUCAGCAACACUUUGGAAGACUCAGAGGAGCAGGAAGGAGCACUGGAGAACAAGAGAGCGCUGGAGGCAGAGGAUUCAGGUGACAGUGAUGCUGAGCUGGACAGUGAUGGACUCAAAGGAGAGCGGGAGUUGGGAGACAAUAUGAUGGAGAAAAGAGCUGACAUGGAUUCUGAAGUGGUCCUGACACAGUCCAUGGUAGUGAAGAAGGAUGCCCUGUCCAAAAGAUACUACAGAAGUAAGUGUGUGUCUCUCUGGAGCUGGCUCCUGGUUUGGGUGAACUGCAUGGAUUGUAGACUGCA